rnacentral:rRNA from 1 species
ACGGUCCUAAGGUAGCGAAAUUCCUUGUCAGGUAAGUUCUGACCCGCACGAAAGGCGUAACGAUUUGGGCGCUGUCUCAGCUGUAGACUCGGUGAAGUCUUAGUACCUGUGAAGAUGCAGGUUACCCGCGACUAGACGGAAAGACCCCAUGGAGCUUCACUGCAGGUUGAUAUUGGGAUUUGAUGCAGCAUGUACAGGAUAGGUAGGAGGCAAAGAGAUGGAUACGCCAGUAUUCAAGGAGCCGCUGUUGGGAUACUACCCCUGUUGUAUUGGAUUUCUAACCGGACGACGUAGAACCGUUGACGGGACAGUGUCAGUCGGGCAGUUUGACUGGGGCGGUCGCCUCCCAAAGAGUAACGGAGGCGCCCAAAGAUACCCUCAGCUUGGAUGGAAACCAAGCGCAGAGUGCAAAGGCAAAAGGGUGUUUGACUGCGAGACCCACAAGUCGAGCAGGGACGAAAGUCGGGCUUAGUGAUCCGGCGGUGCUGAAUGGAAAGGCCGUCGCUCAACGGAUAAAAGCUACCCUGGGGAUAACAGGCUGAUCUCCCCCAAGAGUUCACAUCGACGGGGAGGUUUGGCACCUCGAUGUCGGCUCAUCGCAUCCUGGAGCUGAAGUCGGUUCCAAGGGUUGGGCUGUUCGCCCAUUAAAGCGGUACGCGAGCUGGGUUCAGAACGUCGUGAGACAGUUCGGUCCCUAUCUGUCGUGGGCGCAGGAAAUUUGAGAAGAGCUGUCCUCAGUACGAGAGGACCGGGAUGGACGCAUCAAUGGUGGACCAGUUGUCACGCCAGUGGCAUAGCUGGGUAGCUAAAUGCGGAAGGGAUAAACGCUGAAGGCAUCUAAGUGUGAAACCCACUUCAAGAUGAGAUUUCCCAUUGCGCAAGCAAGUAAGACCCCUUAAAGACGAUAAGGUAGAUAGGUCAGGAGUGUAAGCAUGGUGACAUGUUAAGCGGACUGAUACUAAUAGGUCGAGGGCUUGACCGA